UACGUAGGGUCCGAGCGUUGUCCGGAAUUACUGGGCGUAAAGAGCUCGUAGGUGGUUUGUCGCGUUGUUCGUGAAAACUCACAGCUCAACUGUGGGCGUGCGGGCGAUACGGGCAGACUAGAGUACUGCAGGGGAGACUGGAAUUCCUGGUGUAGCGGUGGAAUGCGCAGAUAUCGGGAGGAACACCGGUGGCGAAGGCGGCGCUCUGGACCGAGACUGACGCUGAGGCGCGAAAGCGUGGGGAGCAAACAGG
rnacentral:rRNA from 1 species